rnacentral:rRNA from 1 species
AUUGAACGCUGGCGGCAGGCCUAACACAUGCAAGUCGAACGGUAACAGGAAGCAGCUUGCUGCUUCGCUGACGAGUGGCGGACGGGUGAGUAAUGUCUGGGAAGCUGCCUGAUGGAGGGGGAUAACUACUGGAAACGGUAGCUAAUACCGCAUAAUGUCGCAAGACCAAAGAGGGGGACCUUCGGGCCUCUUGCCAUCGGAUGUGCCCAGAUGGGAUUAGCUUGUUGGUGGGGUAACGGCUCACCAAGGCGACGAUUCCUAGCUGGUCUGAGAGGAUGACCAGCCACACUGGAACUGAGACACGGUCCAGACUCCUACGGGAGGCAGCAGCGGGGAAUAUUGCACAAUGGGCGCAAGCCUGAUGCAGCCAUGCCGCGUGUAUGAAGAAGGCCUUCGGGUUGUAAAGUACUUUCAGCGGGGAGGAAGGGAGUAAAGUUAAUACCUUUGCUCAUUGACGUUACCCGCAGAAGAAGCACCGGCUAACUCCGUG